UGGUCCAGUGGUAAGGAAGGGUUGUGUGGGGUGUUACACCACUUCACCCAGGUUCGAUCCUCCCUGGAAACAAAAACACAAUUAUGUGGGAAGUCUGGGUUUGGGCCAAAGGCCCAAGCAGUUUACAUGGUAGUCCAGUAACAGGCGAUCUGGUUACCCCUGGCAUUAGUUGGAAGGCAUUUCAAACUCGGGACAGGUAGUGUGGUGGCCCAUUUGGAUCUCAUGGAUCUCAUGGCCCGUUGACUCGAGUUCGCUCGAAGCUCAUGGUGUCUGUUGAACCGUUGAAC
rnacentral:lncRNA from 1 species